rnacentral:lncRNA from 1 species
UUGAGGAGUUUGCUAAGAAGCACGAAGUGCUACAUCAUGGAUGUAAAGACAAAUGUAGGGCUAGUCUGCAUAAGACCGUUAGGAGAAGGCAGCAUCUGGUAUAGGUAAAUCUGUGUGCUUAUUCUUUCAAAUUAGUACAUUUCUCUAUGGUCAAUUAAACCUAUGAAUUUUAUAUUUGUAAAGUUUUUGAUAGAUUAUAUAAGUAGCUUUACAUACACAUCAUCUGUCUCGUGUGUGAUUAGAUUUUUAUCCUAGUUCUUGAAUGUCAUGUCUUGACCAAAUAAAUUCAUAAAUGAGAAUAAAUAAAUUUUUGUGUUUAAAAAUCAAGAUCACGUAUUCACCCCUCCCAAAAUUCGGAGAUUCAAGAUAAGAACCUUCAUUAGCAAUUACAAUAUACUCCAAAUGCCCACUUGAGCUUCCAUCAUAGACAUACUUCAAUGAAUUAACUUGAAAUUGGUCUUCUUUUGGUUAAAUUUCUUAAAUAUAUUAUAUCAUACAACUUUUCCUUUUAUAGGUAAAUUUUUGUCCCCAUUGGAACUUGAACCUGAACCUCCCACAAACCUUCCCCAUCCCUUUUACCACUUGAACCAGGCCUCAAGGGCAUAUUAUAUCCUACAACUAAAUGACAUCCAACUCAACUGUUAAGAAAAUUAAGCUUAAAUAAAAUAUCCUAAACGAAAUUUAACAAACCCAGUAGAGCUAUCUGACCAAAACUCACUUUGUUGAACAACAAUUGAUUAAACAGUAGAGUUGGAGUUACUAAUGUUGCAUAAGCCUAUUUCCAAACUGCCUUAAAUGUGAGUCCUAACUCCUAACCCUCCACAUCGAUCCACAAUAAUCCUCAAGUUAAAAAUGUGAGUCCUAAUAAAUGAUGCUCAAGUCAAAGAAUCAUUGACAAACGUUAGUACAGUAGAUCAUCUAGUUUUUCAUCCAAACAAUACAAUUCUAUUUAUCUUUUUUUCUCUUCUAAGCAACCAAACAGAGCAUUUUUCACAACCGAUGAACAAAAUCAAAACAAGAUACAUUGAGCGUAUACAUAUAUAAAGAGAAAGAGAAAGAACCUCAGGCUUGGUGAAAAUGCCCAAGUCACCAGUGAGUGGAUUCUUAGUUUCAACAACAUCAACAAUGACGUUAACAGUGCCAGGGAGCUCCGGCGGACCACAAUCAAGCGUAAUACCAACGGAAUCGAAGAUACCGAAGCUAUGAAACCUAUGAUUGGCGAUGCCAGCAGCCUUGAGCAGCUCUUGCAUUGUAGUGGCGUUCUUGAUGGCUUCCAGUUCGGCUUCGAUCAACGAGUCCUUGGUCUUGGUGUUUCCUUUAAUCAGAACAUCGUGAACUCGCAGCUUCACUUUCUCACUCGCCAAUCGUCGGAACAUGCUCUCCAAUUUGCUACCAUCCUCAGCCAAUCUCGAUUCUCUCGAUUUUUCGCUCCUUGCUUCUUCUUCCUCAUCCUCCUCCUCCGCUUCAUCUUCAUCUUCAUCUUCGAAGUCGCCAACGCCGUCAGCCUGAGAUUCUUCCCCUCCUUCUUCGUCGCCGUUAGGGUUUUCAGAGAUCGGAGUCUCCUCUUGGUUUUCUUUCAGUGCCAUUGACGGAGAUUAGAGGCGGAAACAGUAAUUUUGCUUGUAGUUCAGACGAUUUGUGACAAAUGCCUUUUAUUUAUACAUAUGAUGCUUUGCUUUGCUUUCCUUUGGGGUGUGAGAAUAUAGCCUCCAUCUGAUCUGGCACGAUCCUGCGCCCAAAUCUGCUGUCCAUCUUUCCAUCGGUUGAUUCCACCAAAACUGGGACCCAAUCGACUUUACACCGUAGGAUUAUAAUCGUAAAUAAAUAAAUCGAAGAAGAAUUAUAUAUAAUCUUAAAACAACCAAGAAAAAUAAAUUUUGAAAAGAAAAAAAAAUGGAUAUAGAAUGGGGGAAAAAUAUAAAAAAUGAACAAUCUUAUUAAAAGAAUGAACGUAUCAAACCUUUUGGUUGUAAUUACUUAAUUAUUUAUAUUUUAAAUUUAUUUUAUCUUUGAUUAUAAUCUUUAUUAAAAAAUAGUACGAAAUUAAAAAUUAAAAGAUAUAAAAAUUAUGACUGCUCACAAUUCUUUGUACUAAUAAGAUAAUAAUAAAAAAAUUAGGGUUAUGUUAGGGUACCGAAAAGUGCUUUUUCGGAAAUAUUAACAUUUCCUCGUAUCCAUAUUUAAAAAAACAAAAAAAGAAAAAAGAAAAAAAAAAUGCACACAUUUUUUAAAAUUUAAGACAAAUUACAAAGGUUAAAAUAAGUCCAUUUUCAGCUAAAAUGUGAAAAGAUGAUUAAUUCCAAAAACUAUAUAAAUUCCACUUAAUUUUUUUUAUCUGUAUCAAAGCAAUCAUUUUCACCCUUCAAUUCAUCGUCUCACUCUAUAAACUCUUCUAUGUUUUUCUGCACUGUCCUCUGUUUGGCUACUGAGAAAACAAAAGGUCAAAAGGAAAAUCAAGCAGAUGAUUUUAACUCAUCAGCCCAAAGGAUCCCUCAUUGUGGGCUUCCCAUAGGGAUUAGCUUAUUUCAAUUGUGUUCCUUCACUUUCUCUGCAACCAAAUGAACCCUAACUAUUUUUUUUUUCUCAUUUUCUUUCUUCUUCAUCUUCUUCUUCUAUUCAGUUUAAAGGAAAUGGGGAAGUGUUCAAACCGAGGAUUUUGAUUAAAUCAAGGAGCCCAUACAUCAAAACCAGCAGGAACUAGUAAUCCAUACCGAUGAAUUCACAAGAAAAAUAUCGAUUACUCUGAUGAGAAUAUGAGCAAUGCUUCAUCAGCAGUGUCCCCAGAAAAUAUAUUAACAGCAUCAGAAACAAAAUAUGAGACCUUUCUGUACUCUACAAAUGAACAACAGCCAAAUGACUUCCUUUUGAGGAGAGGUGGUGGGGAAAGCUCUUCCAGAGCUCUGGAUUUGAACUGUUGACAAAAACCAAAGGCUUCAAAUAUCCAUGAUUUUGAUCUUUAAUAAGGGUCCCUGUUUCAUAUGGGGAAGUUUGGUAAGUAGCCAUCUGUAGAAUAGGAAGGUGAAGUUGAAUAGGUGUGUUGGGCAAUGUUUUGAGUAUUGUUAUUAGAAAACAUCUUUCGACAAAGGUUCUUAUAAAGAAUUGUUAAUUGUUUUUAAAAAUAAAAUUAUGUUUGAAAACUCAAAUAUGAAAAACAAUUUUCUCGACUUAUUCUUUAUGAAAAUGUGACGAGCUUUUAAUGUAAGGAUUUUUAAGUAUUCUUUAUAUUUUCAACUAAUAGCUUAUUUGACAAUGUUUUUGAAAAGCAUUUUUAAAAAACGUUUUGAAAAAAAUCAAGUAAACUUGAAAAAUCAAUUACAAUACUUUCUUAAAAAGCACUUGAUAAGUGAUAUUCCAAAACAGUUUCUAGAUAAAAUGCUUCUAAUAAAAACAUUUUAAAUGAAAACACUCCCAAACACACCAUAAAUAUGCCUCAAAUUUGUUUUACAAAACAACCUUAUCCUCAAAACAAAUUCUCAAAAACAAAGUUUUGUGGGAAGAAAAAAAAAAAAUCUAUUCUAAAGAGCAGAAAAUUGCUUUCAAGAUGUUUCCAAACAGUCUAAACUUGACUGCAAUGCUGAAAACACAGCAGACAAAGCAAAGAGGGAGGUACCAAGUGAACGUGUUAAAGCUCUCGAUUGUUUUAGACCGAAAACUUUGGAAGCUAUCUGAAUCUUCAGAGUCUUCAUAGAAGCCAUAGAACUGCAAAUCACAAGUGGAUGAAUAGAAAAACAAAUGGAACUGCAUCCAACCAGGCUUCAAACUCAAAACCCCUAUGGUGGGCACUGGAAAUUGAAGACUAACCUUAUCAAACUUCCCAACCAUUGCUGAAUCCGCCUCGUCGUCUACCUGCAAACAAUCAGAGCCCAUGAGCCUAUUCUUCAGAAGUAAUGGAACCUCACUAUAAUUCAGAUUUAUUAGUUUACACAUCAAAGUUGGACUAGUUCAAUUACCUCUACCCUAUCAUGUUCUUCUUUGAGCAAGAUUUUCAGGUGUUCUGAAUUCACUUUUUCAGCUUGAAUGAUAUAUGGUUUCCUCUCCUAAUUAAAAAUACACAAAAUAAAAAAUGGAUGUAAUAAUCAUAUUAACAUUCUAACAAAACCCAAUACAAAUUUUCUUACAAAUUUAUACCUCCAUUGACAUUUUCUUCCAUGCUUCAAAUCCUAUUCGAUCAACAUGAAUCGGAUUUCCAGUCUUGCUGGCCUUCCUAAAGUUUUCCCUACAAAACCCCACCAACAGAAACAUACCCACCAGAUUUAGCUUCAAUUUUCCUUGAAUUUUUCACAACAUUUUCUGUAGGGAUUUCAACAGAGAGAAUAUAUAGAUAAGAGCAAUGAAGAAAGAGACAACACACAUGAAAAGCCUAAAAGGCGAUCUGGGUUCGCCCAAACACGUUUGUUUCCUCAGAUUUUGAACCCCACGCUGUCCUUUGAAUCUCUUCACAUCCCUCUUCAAUCCACAGUCAUGCAUAUCGGCCAGAGCUAUCGCCACCGAAACGCCACAACCAUGGCUGCAAAUAUCGGAACCCAUCAAACGAAACUGAACACAGAGAGAGACAGGGGGCUGAAUAAUACCAUUUCUCAAAGGCGCUUCCAUCAGGCCCACGACGAAAGCCACUGGCAAUGGCGUGGACCCUCUUCCGAGUUAUCGGCGGAUUCGCCAUCGCAGCCACGCCGCUCCGCUGCCUCACUCAGCCGUGCCCGCGCUGGCGCUGAGCUCUGGCGGUUGGCUAAAAUGAUCGUGUUCGUGUUGCCGGUGUAUGUUAGUGAGUGCGCCUUGCUAACUUGCACUCGCCAUCUUCGCGCGGGAAGAGGUACUAUAAGUUUUGGUAAUUAAUGAAAAAUAUCAGCUUUUUAAAACGUGAAAAAUGAAAAAUGAGUUCCCGCGCGGUGAAUUAAAAUGGCGCAGGAAAGGUAAAUGGAGGGCAGCCAAUAAGAGAGUGACACGUAAAAUUUACCGUGUAACAAGAACAGGUAUGAAGGGUAACCUGGUAAACCCAGCUUAGCCAACCAAUCCAAAUACAAAUUCAUUUUCUUUCUCCAAAGCACUUGUUACCACUACUCUAAUGUUCAAGGUCGGACUGAGUUGGGGCCUAUGGCUUCACUUCUUUGAACCCACUGCCAAUGUUAGCACACAUGUUUGAAUGAAAAACAAGGAUCGGAGGGUCAUAAUAAAUUUGGUGUAUUUAAAGCCUUCAUUUCCUUUAUUAUUAUUAUUAUUAUAUAUCAUAGCAUGAAAUUUAAUAUUUAUAUAGAAAGAUAAAUAAAAAGGUCAUCGCGAACAACAUUCCGCGCACGUGUGGAUCAGUCGCUUGUUUCAACGUGUGUGAGUGUUUCACACAGAAGAGAAUCCCAACUCUGGGCGCCUAGAUUCAAAAUUGAAGAUCGUCUCCAGUCUCAGUUGGACUACAACCAUGGCGAACACACUCCAUGGCGAUCUCUUCUCUUCUCUGAUUUCUGAUAUCAAAACCUACACUGGCAAAGACCCUCUUCUCCCAUGGCUCCGGUAAACAAACCAUUUUCUCCGUUUCUGCUAUUUUCGCAGCUUUCCUUCCCAUUUCAUACUCUAAAAUCUCCGCUGAGACAAACCCAUUUAUCCAUUUCCUGUGUUUCAUGUGAUUCAGUUUUGUUUUCGCAUCUGGAAUCUCUGCAAGAAAAAACCCCAUUUAAACCAAUUCCUGCGUUUCUUUAAAAACAAACUUCUGCUUUCUGUGAAUCCUUUGAUUUCUCUGCCUCUGUUUCCAUUUGAUAUUAUGCACACUCUUCAAAAUCAAACCCAUUUUUCUGUUUUCUAUGUUUCAUAUGACUCAGUUUCCAUUUCACAGUAUCGAAUUUCUUCAUAAAGAAAUCCACCUCCGUGUGGCAUUUUGUAUUCUCGGCUUUUAUUCCCCUUAAUUUCAUGUGAAUGGGAUGGUGUUACAGGGGGAUUCGGAAGAUGAUGGAGUCUCUGCCGCCGCAGCUUCUGAAAGAGAAGCUCCCUCGAUUUCUACAGAAAUGCGCGCAGACCUUUGAGACUGAUCGGCGUUACACAAAUGAUAUGCGGUACCUUCGUGUUUGGUUGCAAUUGGUAAAUCAGAUUUCCCAUCACUGUGUUUUUUGUUUCCAUCAAAUAUUAUGUUCGCGGGUCAUUUGGUUUCCGGUGAUUCUUUUUCAUUAUAUGUUUGGUCUUUCAGAAAACUCAGGAAAAGGAAAGUAAAUAGAAGUUCUUCUAGCAUUGAUGUUUUGUAUUAUUUCUUGUUUACUGGACAUGGAAAUCCCUCCUGUACUAAUCAAAGAAGUGUAUUAGAAAAUGCCAACUAGGCUUUUUGAAAUGUCGCAAUCUAGAUCAAAGUAGAAUGAAGGGGAGUAUUUUUAGGUACUGGAAGGGAGUAUGCAGGAAAAAGCAUAAUGAGAUUGUUGUAAAUUAGGCUCUUUUUAGUGGAGGUUUCUUUUUUCCUCACAAUUUUCUAGGCAACCAAAUGGAGCAUUAAUGAUUGACUGGGGUUUUUUUUGUUUUCUUUUGAUGCUUGAGUAGAUGGAUUUUGUGGAUGAUCCGAGAGGACUUUUGAGAACUAUGGAAAUUAAUCACAUUGGGGAGAAGCGGGCCUUGUUUUACCAGGCAUAUGCUCUUUACUAUGAGAAGAUCAAGAAAUUUGAGGAGGCUGAUAAGAUGUACCACUUGGGAGUGCAAAAGUAAGUCAUCCAACUUCCAAAUAGUUUCUUCGGUUUUUGAAGUAUUCCUCUCACACAAACAGUGAAGGAAUAACAUUUUUCUGAUAAAGUCCUGAUCCUAUAUCUUUUUUUGAUGAACAAAUGGAGCAUCUAUUAAAGAGUGCCAAAGAAAGGGGCACACCCUAUGUACACAGGUAGCAUACAGAGAGCAUCAUAGCACAAACAUCAAAAGGCAUAUACAAAAAAACAGCCUUAAAAAACUAUACACAGAUAAGGCUAUCAUUGAGAAACUCUCUAAUUCCAACCAAGUGUGGGACCGCUCCAACAGUGAUUUAAUGAAGUACUCCUUCAGCUUUUGAUAUGGAGGUUCUUCUUCAUUGAAAAUCCUUUCGUUAUGCUCUUUCCACAUACACCAAAACAAACAAAGGGAAGCCAUGCUCCAAACAAUUCUGUUCUUCCUAUCCAACCCCUUAAAUUUCCACUUGAGAAGGGGAUUUCUCACUAAAGUUGGAAACACCCAUUUCAGGUCAAAGAUUGCUAAAAGCAAUGUCCAUAGCACUCUUCUACUCACAACGUAUCAAGAUGUGAUCAGAUGAUUUUUCACUAUCUUUCCAAAUGCUACAUUUGUUGACUAUUGUCUAUCCCCUCUUUAUUAAAAUAUCUAAUAAGAUCUUCCCCUACUACUUCCCAAGCCAAAAAAAAAAAAAGAAACACAUUCACAAAGGAGCUUACCCCAAAUUUCUUUGGCUGGGAAUACUACUUUAGUCUCAAUGCAUAAGGAGUUACAAUAUAAUUUUACACUAAAAUUGCCCCUCCUAUCUUUAAGUGUCCUCUCCUUGUCAAUAGAAGCUUUAACCUUAUAGUGAUUACUGGUUCUGCUUGCAGAGAGUAGAAACUCUGAAUCUAUCGGUUGUUAAUUGGAGGAGUCAUCCCACCAUCUGGAUGUAUUGACAUAAUAUACCCAGUUAAGGAUAUAAGUGGGACAUGAUUUAAUCAUUGAAAACAUGGUUUAGAGUUAUGUUCACCUCUUAUGAGCUGCUGAACAGUCUUGCAGAGCCUCUUGAAGAGUUGCAGAAAUCGUAUGAGCAGUUCCUUCAUCGCUUGGAGAGACACAAGAACAGGAGAAUCCAGGUUGCUUUUUGUUGAUUUUCUGAGAUGGGUUUUUUCUUGUAGUUUCGAAACCCUCAAUUUACUAACAGUAGUCAAAUGUCUUGCAGCGCCAGGAAGGGAGAAAAACCAAUAAACCUCCUGCUAGGGUUCUCACUCAGCAUUGUGGUGAGACUAAAGAAAACAAUGAAAAUAUGCAGAGAGUUGAGAGACAGCAUACAGGAACAUGGCCCGAGGAAUCUUCACCUAAAACAUUACAUAAUCACAAAAGUGCAGAGACUAAUAAUGUGUCGAAGGAAAGCUCACAUGAUGCGAUGCCAAUGGAAGAAUCUAACCGCGUUAGACUAUCAGAAAAAUUGUGUGAUGGUGGAACGGAUAGCAUUCCAUCCUUGAAGAAGGAAGUCAUUACAAAUAUUGAACCUGUGGCUUAUUCCAACCAGCAAGAAUUUACUGAAACAAAGUUAGAUAGACCGAGCACAUUCUGCGAGGAUCCACUUCUGGUGAAGUUUCUAGACACUGCCGUUGUUGGAAAGUCUGAAGCAGAAGAUGCCUGCCAUCAUGGUCUUGUUGAACCUACUAUUAACAUGAAGGAAGCCAUGAAUGCCAUUAAUAACAUGUUUCGAGAACCUUUAGAGCCAGCUAUGGUUGGUAGGGCAACCAGACGCCGUCCCAGAGUUGAUAAUAGUUUGAACAACGGAUUUAAGGUGUUUGUUGAUGAAAACUUAGAUAAUGGUGUUGGAUCAUCAUAUCAAAAGAAAGAUAAGGAUUUUCUGCCAGUGCAAGGCAGUGGAACUGAUGCACUUGGGGCCAAAGCUGACAAAAGAUUGAAUGCUGGAUUUGAGGUGUUUGUCGAUGAAAAUUUAGAUAACAGGGUUGGAUUGUCAGAUCAUAAAAAGGAAGGGUUUUUUCCACUGCUGCAACCUACUAAACAUGACACAAGGUCUCACCAAGAGUCGUUCAAUAUAUUUAUUGAUGAAGAAGAGGCCAAUGGGGUUGGAGACAGAAAUGAUGAGAAAGAUCACUUGGAGGAAGAAAGUGAAGUCCAAGAUGGGACAGAAGAUUCAGGUGUAAAUGUUUUCGUGUUCCCAAGUCCAAAGGAUGAUCCAUCUGAAUCUUCUGAUAAUCUGCAUGCAGAGAACUCAUCUCGACCGAAAUUUAGAGAGGACACAGUCGUUUGUAGGUUUGUGGGAUCCACCAUCUUGGAUGAACCAGAGGUGGAAAAUGUUUGUCACCAUGGAUUAGUAGAACCUACAAUUAACUUGAAGGAGGCAAUGAAUGAUAUCAAUAACAUGUUUGGGAAGCCGAUAGAAUUUGCAAGGAAAAGAAGACCAAAGAAGCAGGAUAAGGUACCUGACACAAAGAGAGAUUUUGGUGGAGGGUUCUCAAUACUUCCUGAUGAUGAUUUGGAAUCUCAAAAAGGGUUUUCAAUACUUCCUGAUAAUGAUUUGGCAUCUCAACAAGGGUUUUCAAUACUUCCUGAUAAUGAUUUGGCAUCUCAACAAGGGUUUUCAAUACUUCCUGAUGAUGAUUUGGAAUCUCAGCAAGGUCGAUCCCUACCAAAAUCAUCCCACAAAUCAAGGGAAUUUGAUUUGUCUGAGCCUACUGUGUUUACAAAAGAGGCCAUGGAUGAGAUAAAUAAGAUGUUUGGAAUGCCACUGGACUUUUAGGACCAUGACCAACACUGUAUUUCUGAAAUUUUGUGCUUGUAGUUGAUGUACAACUGGUUUUCUUGAUCUGAUUGAUAUAUUAGAAACAUCAAAUUUGCUCUUGAGCCUUGGCUCAAAUGGCAAAGUUUGACUCAUGGUUUGAAAAUGAUGCUUCUAUGUUUGUACUGAUAAACAUGUAUUUGAAAUAUGAGAUUGGUCUGGUUUGAUUUCAUCUUUUCCUUUUCUUUUUCAUUGCCUUUGAACUGUCUAUUUGUCAUAUCCAUGUUUCAGCUAAUGGUACAGCACAACUGUGACUGAAUCAUUCAUUUAUUUGCUUUUGGGGGAUUUUCUACAAUUGAAUCCAGUUUAUUCAAGAAGAAAACAAAAUCCCAACUUGUUUGGAAAGGAACUGUUGAAUCAACAGGAGCUAAAAAAAAUGGAAGGAAACUGACUGAACAUCAAUGCGAAGCUUACAAACAAAUGGUAAUAAAAUCAGUCAUGAGUCUUUGGAGGGCAAUGAGCAGGACGGAAAGCCAAGGGACCUGCAGCAUAGAUCACAGCCUCAUAAUGCUUCCCAAACAAUCUCUUGUUCUCAUAGCGAAGUGGGGAACCAUAGAGACCAUAGUUGACAUUGGAGAGAAGGUUGCAGUUCUCAAGAGGCGAGGAAACAAGCUUCACAUGGCAUGAGUGGAGGGGAUGAUCCAGAAUAUUAUGGCUCAUCUUGAAGCCAUCAAGUUCAGCAUAGAAGUAACCGUUCCCAUCGGUCUCAAAAGCCUUGUAGAAGCUGACUUGAUCCUUGUGGUCUUUGCAGAUGACACUGACUUUAGCAGCAGGGAUAGGCUCAGCCCCAGUUAAGGACCAUGAUCCAAACUGGUCACAGCUCUGGCAGUAGACCAUGCCUUCCACCACCACUGCUGCUGUCUUCUCCUCUGUUUUUUUGGGGAUUUCUUCGGCCAUGGUGACUGAAGGGAAGGACAAAGAGAGAAGCAGGCAGGAUGAGAUGAAAAUCUUGAGUUUUCUGCUCUCCAUAAUUGUUGGAAAGGUGGUUAGAGUUCUGUGACUUGAGGAAGAUGACUAUUUAGGAUGAGGAGAUAAUGGAAGGGGAUUGUAUUUAUAGUAUAUUGAUUUAGUUGAGUUGAACUUCUCAUUGACGUGAGGGCCACUAUGCUUCAUACUACGUGAAGCCAACCUUCCCCCUUUUCUAAUUGACUAUUUAUGGCAUCUUCCUAUACCAAGAGUUGGAGAAAAUGGAAGUGGGAAGAAAAUAUAAUUACAAGCUUCCUACUUUUUGACUUCAAAGGAAAUUUGAAGUGGAAAUCAAAGUUAUAAUUUUUAAAGAAUAAUAUUAAUAAUAUUUAAUAAACUUAUUACAUAAGUCAAAACAAUAUUAUUGUAAAAAGUAAUAUUUUUUUAAUUUUCAUAUUAAGAUUUUGAAAUAAAAUUAAGUAAACAAUCACUGAAUUUCUUACUGAACUUAAUGUAAAACUUUUAGCUUAUCAGGAAUCAAUCCAUACAUGAACCCAAUGACCCAUUCUUAAAAAAUUAUAAUUAAAAAUUUGUGUAGACCCAUUCUUAAAACCUGUUUUAAAAAAUUUGUCUACAAAUGAAUCAUUUCUAGGACACAUCAGAGAGACAGACUACUUUUCCCCUUCACAUUUUGGAAUGAGUUAGCAUAAAGUCAGAAUCACCUUCUUUUUACAUUUUAUUUUAGGAAGGAUAAUUUUUCAUUCCUGUGGUCAUGAUGCUGGCUGCUGCAAGUCUUUUCAAGGAUUCGAUUCAGCACUGUUAGGUUGAGAUGGUUCAAGAUGUGCAAGUUGGGGCAAAAGACUAACAAUUAGGAGCAACCCCACAAAAGGGAAAUGAGAAGGAAAAUAAUAAUUAAAAAGAAAGAAAGAAAGUGGUUGGAAAUGAGACAAAGGAUGACUCCAUUCCAAUUCCAUUCUUGUCAUAUUUGUUAUCCACAUUGCAGCCAGCAUCCAUGCAUGGAACAAAAGAAGUUGAAUUGGGUGAAGCAAAAUAGGAUAGUAAUACAAUAAUUCAAAACUUAUAUAAUUUUCAGAAAGUACACAAAGAUUGCUGUGUGCUGUCACAGCAAAAGAAAGCCUUUUUUUUUUUUUUCUUUUUUCUGUGCACUCUGACAGCCAAAUUUUGGACAGCAAAACCGAAAGAAAUGGCAUUCACCAAUUCAUUUAUAUACAAGAAGCAUACGAUUGCCUCUACAUUAAAUACAGAUGGGUAUCAAACCUAAAGGCGACUGCUUCUGUGCCUGAGAAACUACUUACAAUGAAAACUUCAACUCUUAGCUUGCUUCUGUGGACAAUAUCUCAAGCUCUGCCCACCACAGAGGAGAAAGCUUGGGGAUUGCUCCAUCAGGACCUAUUUCGGUUAUUUCUCUCAUUCUUGCAGUGACGUCUCUCAUUGUUGGUCUUUGUUUUGGGUCAGGGUUUACACAAGAUUUGAUUACUUCACGGAUACUCUCAAGCUGCUCCUCUUGGAAGAAUUUUAGGGUUGGAUCCACCAUUUCUUUGAUGGGUCGGUCCCCUUGCAAAUAGUUUGAUGCCCAGUCCUCAAGCGAGCCGUUAUCCACUGAGUAAGGAACUCUACCUGUUAUCAUUUCAAACAAAAUUACACCAAAGCUGUAGACAUUACUUUCUGGGUCUGCUGAUGGUGAAGCAGAAAGCUCCACUCUGGGUGACUUCAUCUCAGUGGCAGCCAUCACAUUCCAGACGCUGAAAUCUGAGACCUUGGCUGCAUAGUCUUCAGCAAGAUUAACCGCUGAAGAGUUCAGAUUCUCAUGGGCUAUAGGCGGGGUCAAUUGGUGGAUAUGGUUGAGGUAGUAUGCCAUGCCCAUUGCAGCUCUCAGCCGCAUUGCCCAGUCCAAGUGUUCAGCUUCUUUUACUGCAGGAUUCACCAGAAUUAGAGAUCUUGCCCUAAAGCAAAUAGUCAACAAAAGGAUAAUGGCAUAUGAAAAAUAAUUAUCCUUAAACAUAGGCAUAAAAAUAUUCCUGGUCAUAAUGAUGCAGCCACCUUAACAUCCCAUUCAAGUGCUCAUCAGCAAAAACGAAAGCUGACUGCAAACCUCGGUUCCAUUUAUUUUUUCCCUUGCAUGACAUGUUUCAUAACUAGAUGGCCUCAAAUGGGAGGUGACCGCAUCAUAGGCAUAAGGAGAUUCCUAUGGUUAGUAACGGAAAUUUCAGAAAUGAAGAACUUGCUAGUGAUAAUAUUCUGACAAAUGGUCAAAUGAAUAUGUUUGAACCCCCAAAGUCAAACAUGCAAAUUGAGUCUUUUGAUGUAAUGUAAAAGAGAGUAUACAACUUGCACAGGCAAUUUGUGCUGACCAAGUCAGUUCGGUAGUGAUAUGAAUAAGUCAAACGUUGAUUCUGGUACAUCACAUAGCCAUAAACAUUUGAAAUCAAAUUUUAUCACAAAAAUUUUUCUAACUUAAUUCUGAUGGCUCUUGAGGUUGAAACAGAACCAUUAUAUCAGUUGAUGUGGAGUACAGGAUGAUUUCUCAAGUCAAGAAUGCUCAUCCUUCAGGCUCUAAAUGGUCCGUGUAAUCAACUGAAUAUAGAGUAACUUGCCAAGUUAUAUCCUGAUUUUGACCAUAAAUUAAAGUCCUUUUAAGAAAAUGAUAAGAAAAAGAAUUUGAUGCUUACUAUGUAAAUGCUCAAAAAGCGUUCCAUUCGGAGCAUAUUCAAAAACCAUCAUUCUGGUGAAAGGUUCCUCUUCUUCACAAUAUCCGAGAAGGUUGACAAAAUUCUUGUGGUUCACUUUUGAUAACCUUUCGAUCUGAAACCACAACCAAAGAAAAUGUAAGGACUACCAAGAUGAAUCAAAACCACAAAGUUUAGUGGAUGUAAUCUCUCAAGUACCUUCUUCCUGAACUGCACUUCUAGAUUUUUUGACCAAUCCUUGGAAGAUGUCACUGCAGCAGAUGUCACAGCUAUUUCAACUCCGCUAGACAAUGUUCCUUUGUACACGGUCCCUAUUGACGAAGAACCAAUUACAUUACUGAAGUCUUCACAAGCUGUUUCAAGCUCCGACCUCUUCAGCUUUGGUACACCUGAAAUGCAGAUAUCAGGUCAUGCAUACAUAAGGCACAGAACCAUUAAUACGAACAUGAGCAAUAUACAGGGAACAGAAGAGGGGGUUGGAACAAUUACCGGUUACAAAGACCUUCUGAAGCUGCCCACUUAAUCCUGUGGCCCAAGGUUUAACAGUGGCCACUUUAUUGGUUCUAAAGAGAUAUAUGCAAAUAAUGCAAAUGAAAACAAGUACAGAACCGCCUAUUACACCAACCAAUAGCAGAGUGUGUUUCAAAUUUGAUUUCCCGGAAGAGCUUUCUGAGGGGGAAGAGGAUGAUGUGUUAGUAAGGGAGGGCCCUGAAGAAGAAACAGAUGGAUCAGAGGAAUUCGGGCUUGGUGUUGGCACAGGUGUUGUGGUAGAACGAGUCUGGAAUUCUGGUGACGGUGACGGUGACGGCAAAGGUGAAGAUGAAGGUGAAGGUGAAGGUGAAGGUGAAGGUGAAGGUGAAGAGGGAGGUAUGCGAACUCUGCGAUCCUCAGCUGUUGACAGUAGUCUGUGAUGAACUACAUCUUCAGUCUGGUCGGUUUUCCUUAAGAAAAAGAAGAGAGAUUGUCA